AGAGGUCCCGAGCGUUGUUCGGAUUCACUGGGCGUAAAGGGUGCGUAGGUGGCUUUGCAAGUCUGAUGUGAAAUCUCCGGGCUUAACCCGGAAAUGGCAUUAGAAACUGUGAGGCUUGAGGCUUGGAGGGGGAACUGGAAUUCUCGGUGUAGCAGUGAAAUGCGUAGAGAUCGAGAGGAACACCAGUGGCGAAGGCGAGUUCCUGGACAAGUCCUGACACUGAGGCACGAAAGCCGGGGGAGCAAACAGGAUUAGAUACCCUGGUAGUCCCGGCUGUAAACGGUGCACGUUUGCUGUAAGCGGAAUCGACCCCGUUUGUGGCGAAGCUAACGCGUUAAACGUGCCGCCUGGGGAGUACGGUCGCAAGAUUA
rnacentral:rRNA from 1 species